GACAGAGGGUGCAAACGUUGUUCGGAUUUACUGGGCGUAAAGCGCGCGUAGGCGGGCUUUCAAGUCGGUUGUGAAAUCCCUCAGCUCAACUGAGGAACUGCAUCCGAUACUGUUUGUCUUGAGGACGAGAGGGGAGAGUGGAACUUCUGGUGGAGCGGUGAAAUUCGUAGAUAUUAGGAAGAACACCAGUGGCGAAGGCGGCUCACUGGUCCGGUACUGACGCUGAGGUGCGAAAGCGUGGGGAGCAAACAGGG
rnacentral:rRNA from 1 species